rnacentral:rRNA from 1 species
UACGUAGGGCGCAAGCGUUAUCCGGAAUCACUGGGCGUAAAGGGCGCGUAGGUGGCCUGGUAAGUAGGGGGUGAAAUCUCGCGGCUCAACUGCGAGGCUGCCUCCUAAACUGUCAGGCUCGAGCAGAGUAGAGGCAGGUGGAAUUCCCGGUGUAGCGGUGGAAUGCGUAGAGAUCGGGAAGAACAUCGGUGGCGAAGGCGGCCUGCUGGGCUCUUGCUGACACUGAGGCGCGACAGCGUGGGGAGCAAACAGG